UUGAGCUAUUUAUAAUAUAUCUCAGACGACAGGUUUUCAAAAAGGUUUUAAGAGUUGGCUUCCGGCAGGCACUCGCAGGACCUAGACGGCCGGAGCCACCUAGACUUGCGGGGACACGAUGGUCCACGACCUGCCAAAGCAACAAAGGUAUAUAAACACGGGUUGGGAGGUUCGGGCCACGAGGACCCUAUACUCUUUAAUGAUCCCUCCGCAGGUUCACCUACGGAGA
rnacentral:misc_RNA from 1 species